CUACUUUCAGGCCGACGUCGGAUGAAUCUAUUGAGCCGACCUCAUCUGAUGAGCUCCUCGAUCUCAUCUCGGAGCUGAAUGCACUCCUCUGUGUCGUGGCCGUGGUCACGAUGAUAGAGACAAAACUUGUUAGGGUUGUACUUUUUGGAGUGUGUGUGCAUCCUUUCCGGCCUUGGCAUCUGCUCCCUGAUCUCCAUCAGCACUUGAGUUUUUGGAGCAUUGAGAGGGGCGUAGCUGUGGAAUCUUCUUGGGGGAGAGCUCUGUCGAACUCUACG
rnacentral:lncRNA from 1 species